rnacentral:misc_RNA from 1 species
UUUCUGGUUUCUACACUUCCCCUUUUGUUUCUCUCAAAUUUCCAUCUUUUACUUCAUUCCUUGAGCUUAGAUCAUCAAUUAGUGAAGUUUUAUUUGAAGUGAAGGAAAACAAUUAAUCUACACAUCUAUAUCCAUACUUUGCAAAUGGUGAGUAUUUGUCUUUUCUGUUAGUAUUUUUGCUCAUUUGGUAAAGAAAAUUAUGGUUUAUACUUUAUAUUAGUUCAUUGAUGAAUUUUAUAGUAUAAAGUAGUAGUUUAUCUGAUCUAUAAGUUAUUAUCUUUUUCUUCUAAUUUUUAUCUAUUUUGGGAAAUAUUUUUAGUAAAAUACACAAGUAA